GGCGGACGGGUGAGUAAUGCUUAGGAAUCUGCCUUAUUAGUGGGGGACAACAUUCCGAAAGGAAUGCUAAUACCGCAUACGUCCUACGGGGGAAAGCAGGGGAUCUUCGGACCUUGCGCUAAUAGAUGAGCCUAAGUCGGAUUAGCUAGUUGUUGGGGUAAAGGCCUACCAAGGCGACGAUCUGUAGCGGGUCUGAGAGGAUGAUCCGCCACACUGGGACUGAGACACGGCCCAGACUCCUACGGGAGGCAGCAGUGGGGAAUAUUGGACAAUGGGCGGAAGCCUGAUCCAGCCAUGCCGCGUGUGUGAAGAAGGCCUUUUGGUUGUAAAGCACUUUAAGCGAGGAGGAGGCUCCUUUAGUUAAUACCUAAAGUGAGUGGACGUUACUCGCAGAAUAAGCACCGGCUAACUCUGUGCCAGCAGCCGCGGUAAUACAGAGGGUGCGAGCGUUAAUCGGAUUUACUGGGCGUAAAGCGUGCGUAGGCGGCUUUUUAAGUCGGAUGUGAAAUCCCUGAGCUUAACUUAGGAAUUGCAUUCGAUACUGGAAAGCUAGAGUAUGGGAGAGGAUGGUAGAAUUCCAGGUGUAGCGGUGAAAUGCGUAGAGAUCUGGAGGAAUACCGAUGGCGAAGGCAGCCAUCUGGCCUAAUACUGACGCUGAGGUACGAAAGCAUGGGGAGCAAACAGGAUUAGAUACCUGGUAGUCCAUGCCGUAAACGAUGUCUACUAGCCGUUGG
rnacentral:rRNA from 1 species